rnacentral:rRNA from 1 species
AUUAGUGGCGAACGGGUGAGUAACACGUGAGUAACCUGCCCUUAACUCUGGGAUAAGCCUGGGAAACUGGGUCUAAUACCGGAUAGGAGCGUCCACCGCAUGGUGGGUGUUGGAAAGAUUUAUCGGUUUUGGAUGGACUCGCGGCCUAUCAGCUUGUUGGUGAGGUAAUGGCUCACCAAGGCGACGACGGGUAGCCGGCCUGAGAGGGUGACCGGCCACACUGGGACUGAGACACGGCCCAGACUCCUACGGGAGGCAGCAGUGGGGAAUAUUGCACAAUGGGCGCAAGCCUGAUGCAGCGACGCCGCGUGAGGGAUGACGGCCUUCGGGUUGUAAACCUCUUUCAGUAGGGAAGAAGCGAAAGUGACGGUACCUACAGAAGAAGCACCGGCUAACUACGUGCCAGCAGCCGCGGUAAUACGUAGGGUGCGAGCGUUAUCCGGAAUUAUUGGGCGUAAAGAGCUCGUAGGCGGUUUGUCGCGUCUGUCGUGAAAGUCCGGGGCUUAACCCCGGAUCUGCGGGGGGUACCGGCAGACUAGAGUGCACUAGGGGAGACUGUGAAUUCCUGGGUGUACCGCGGGAAUGCGCCCAUAUUAGGAGGCAACACCCAUGGCGACAAGAGGU